rnacentral:rRNA from 1 species
AGGACGAACGCUGGCGGCGUGCUUAACACAUGCAAGUCGAGCGGAAAGGCCCUUCGGGGUACUCGAGCGGCGAACGGGUGAGUAACACGUGAGUAAUCUGCCCCUAGCUCUGGGAUAGCUCCGGGAAACCGGGAUUAAUACCGGAUACGACCACUUUAGACAUCUGUUGUGGUGGAAAGAAUUUUGGCUAGGGAUGAGCUCGCGGCCUAUCAGCUUGUUGGUGGGGUAAUGGCCUACCAAGGCGACGACGGGUAGCCGGCCUGAGAGGGCGACCGGCCACACUGGGACUGAGACACGGCCCAGACUCCUACGGGAGGCAGCAGUGGGGAAUAUUGCGCAAUGGGCGAAAGCCUGACGCAGCGACGCCGCGUGGGGGAUGAAGGCCUUCGGGUUGUAACCCUUUCAGCAGGGACGAAGCGAAAGUGACGGUACCUGCAGAAGAAGCGCCGGCUAACUACGCGCCAGCAGCCGC